CGAGUCAGCCAGACAGUCGCUGACGGACCAGCUUGUCCUGCCGACUGGUCGGCAUUUCAGGUUACCGUUGGAGGAAAGUCCGGGCUCCGCAGAGCAGAACGCCAGGUAACGCCUGGGAGGCGAAAGCCUACGGAAAGUGCAGCAGAGAGUAGACCGCCUGUUUAUCGCUUCGGCGCUGGGCAGGUAAGGGUGAAAGGGUGCGGUAAGAGCGCACCGCGCGACUGGUAACAGUUCGUGGCACGGCAAACCCCGUUCGGAGCAAGGCCAAAUAGGAACCCAAUGGUGUGGCUCGCACUGGGUUCGGGUAGGCUGCUUGAGGUCAGUAGUGAUGCUGAUCCCAGAUGAAUGACUGUCCCCGACAGAACCCGGCUUAUCGGCUGACUCAACUU
rnacentral:RNase_P_RNA from 1 species